rnacentral:lncRNA from 1 species
CUUGGAUCUGAUCCCUGGCCCAGGUCACCCAGCUAGAAAUUAACUAACCUGGGCUUUGAACAAAUGCUGCAUUGUCUAUGAAACCAAACAAAUGGGAGCUGAAAACACGCCCAUUGUUUUGUUUCUUCCACAAUCUUUGAAACUUCUUUAGCAUUUCUCCAAGAUCUCCUGGGCCUCACCCAAGAGGGAGACUGUCACUUGACUAUCUGAUGAAGGGGAUGGAAGUGGCAAUUCUACCCUACGUUGCAUCUUUUGUGUUUGCCAGGGAAGGUAUUGAACAAGUGGGAAGGAGAUGCGGCAAGAUGAGGGUGAAGAAAGGGGCCCGGUUUGUCAGGACAGCCUCAGGCCGUGGACCUACCCCAAUCCAGUCUCUUCUAAAUAGGAACUCCGGCUUUGAGUUUUACUUUACGCCUCAAGUCUUUCUUCGUUUAAGGUGCUUUCAGUGUGUUUAUGUUGGUUCCGCGGCAGUUGGUGGCUGUUUGGGCGGGUGUUUUGUUUUGUUCUUCAGGGCCGCGUUCGCGGAGUGUGGAGGAGAUCGGAGAAGAGAACUUAAGGUUCAAAGUCUCGCCAGCGAGACAGCAGCUGCGGAAUGCGUCCGACCAGACCGUCUCACACACCAGGGAAAACGGGGUCAACGCCAGCCUCGGAGAACUGCAGCCACGCGACGAGUGGUAACAGUGCACACACCAGGGAGAACGGGGUCAACGCCAGCCUCGGAGAACUGCAGCCACGCGACGAGUGGUAACAGUGCAGAAACGCCGCACGCCCGGAAGUGAAAAGCGGAUACAGAAACAGGGAGAAGCCAAGGCUUAACCUAGAUCUCUCGUUAGACCAACGUAAAGAGAGAGAAGCGCACCGUUCUCGGAAGUACUGCAAUACCAGGUCGAUGCGUGGAGUGGACGGAGCAAGCUCCUAUUCCAACCCCCAGCUCCAAAAAUCCAUUUAAUAUGUUGUCCUCGGAUAGAAGACGUAUCAGAUAUUAAACUGAUAAGAACAGAUACUACACUUGAUCUUAGCCAAAAGGCCGAAAAGCGAUAACCUCCGCCCCCGCCGGCCCCCGCACCACCUCCCCUCCAUCCCCAUCUAGCGCACGGUGACCACCCGCACCCUCGCUUCUCCUCCGAUGCCUUUGCCGUCUCCACAGAGAUAUCACUACCCCUUGAGCACAUCUCUGCUCUCUGCCGUUUUACGGAGAAACUCUAUAUUCUGGGUCGUUCCGUCGUGCCCGCGCCG